rnacentral:sRNA from 12 species
AUCCUAUACAGAUGUAUUCAACGCUAGCCAGUUGAGCAUCUCCCUGUAGGAUGAAGUUUUUAAUAGAAAUCCUAACAACAAUUCUCAUUGUGUGGCUCUACGGGUGUGGCUCUACGGUCGAAAUGGGAUGCGUUAGGGUGGAAUAGGUUAACCGUAAGACCUUGAGUUGAAAAACUCUAAAAUUGAGCUAGAGAUGCGGAGUUCUUCAUUUUCUAGUUACGGUUCU